UAGAUUAAGGGGGUGGGAGAAAGCAAAUCAGGAAAAUCUCUGAGACUGAAUAAAGAGUAAAACAGAGACACAUGUCUUUGUUUUAC